GUCCCUUCUCGGUCUCUCCGCUCUGCCCGUGACCACCUCCUGUCCGUUGUCCGCACCCGUACGGCCAACUCGCGCUUGCAGGACUUCUCGCGGGCGGCUCCCUUCCUAUGGAAUAGCCUGCCUCCCGCCAUCAGACUCUCCCCUAGUCUUGCAUCUUUUAAGAAGUGCCUUAAAACCCAUCUCUUUAGGAAAGCUUAUGGCCUCCAAGACUAACCCCUACCUCACAUACCUGUCUCUUGCCCUCUCCUAAAGGGCAGCCCACCUUAUUUGAUUGCAAAUUCCUGUCCUAAUGUGUUUUACACCCCACCUCCUAUAGAAUGUAAGCUUGAUUGAGCAGGGUCCUCUUCAACCUAUUGUUCCUGUAAGUUUAUUUGUAA
rnacentral:lncRNA from 1 species